rnacentral:rRNA from 1 species
UACCAGCACCCCGAGUGGUCGGGACGUUUAUUGGGCCUAAAGCAUCCGUAGCCGGUUCUACAAGUCUUCCGUUAAAUCCAGCUGCUUAACAGAUGGGCUGCGGAAGAUACUAUGGAGCUGAGGAGGCGGGAGAGGCAAGCGGUACUCGAUGGGUAGGGGUAAAAUCCGUUGAUCCAUUGAAGACCACCAGUGGCGAAGGCGGCUUGCCAGAACGCGCUCGACGGUGAGGGAUGAAAGCUGGGGGAGCAAACCGGG